AGUCAUAUGCUUGUCUCAAAGAUUAAGCCAUGCAUGUCUCAGUACAAGCCAAAUUAAGGUGAAACCGCGAAAGGCUCAUUAAAUCAGUUAUGGUUCCUUAGAUCGUACCCACACUUACUUGGAUAACUGUGGUAAUUCUAGAGCUAAUACAUGCAAAUAGAGCCCCGACCGGAGACGGAAGGGGCGCUUUUAUUAGAUCAAAACCAAUCGGUGGCGGUUCGCCGUCACCGUACUCCUUGGUGACUCUGAAUAACUUGUUGCUGAUCGCACGGUCUCGAACCGGCGACGCAUCUUUCAAAUGUCUGCCUUAUCAACUGUCGAUGGUAGGUUCUGCGCCUACCAUGGUUGUAACGGGUAACGGGGAAUCAGGGUUCGAUUCCGGAGAGGGAGCCUGAGAAACGGCUACCACAUCCAAGGAAGGCAGCAGGCGCGCAAAUUACCCACUCCCGGCACGGGGAGGUAGUGACGAAAAAUAACGAUACGGGACUCAUCCGAGGCCCCGUAAUCGGAAUGAGUACACUCUAAACCCUUUAACGAGGAUCAAUUGGAGGGCCAGUCUGGUGCCAGCAGCCGCGGUAAUUCCAGCUCCAAUAGCGUAU
rnacentral:rRNA from 22 species